rnacentral:ncRNA from 1 species
GUGAGAACCUUGGCGAUGUAGGGUAUCAACGGCAAAUUUAAAAUUAAUAAAACUAUAUUUCCAAUAUACAUCGAUACGAUCACUGCCCAAAAUAUUUCUGGACUAUCAGUCAUAAGUCUGGGGC